ACUCAAAUGAAUAGACGGGGGCCCGCACAAGCAGUGGAACAUGUGGUUUAAUUCGACGCAACGCGAAGAACCUUACCCGGGCUUGAACUACAGAUGGUAAGUCCCUAGAAACAGGGGCUGACCCGCAAGGGAGUCUGCAGAGGUGCUGCAUGGUUGUCGUCAGCUCGUGUCGUGAGAUGUUGGGUUAAGUCCCGCAACGAGCGCAACCCCUACUCGAUGUUGCUAACCCCGUAAGGGGUGCACUCUUCGAGAACUGCCUUCGAUAAGAAGGAGGAAGGUGGGGACGACGUCAAAUCCUCAUGGCCCUUAUGUCCGGGGCUACACACGUGUUACAAUGGUCGGUACAACGGGAAGCAAGGCCGCAAGGCGGAGCCAAACCCUAAAAGCCGGCCCCAGUUCAGAUCGUGGGCUGCAACUCGCCCACGUGAAGGCGGAAUUGCUAGUAAUCGCUGAUCAGCAGGCAGCGGUGAAUACGUUCCCGGGCCUUGUACACACCGCCCGU
rnacentral:rRNA from 1 species